rnacentral:rRNA from 1 species
GUAGGUGGCAAGCGUUGUCCGGAAUUAUUGGGCGUAAAGCGCGCGCAGGCGGUUCUUUAAGUCUGAUGUGAAAGCCCACGGCUCAACCGUGGAGGGUCAUUGGAAACCUGGAGAACUUGAGUACAGAAGAGGAAAGCGGAAUUCCACGUGUAGCGGUGAAAUGCGUAGAGAUGUGGAGGAACACCAGUGGCGAAGGCGGCUUUCUGGUCUGUAACUGACGCUGAGGCGCGAAAGCGUGGGGAGCAAACAGGAUUAGAUACCCUGGUAGUCCACGCCGUAAACGAUGAGUGCUAAGUGUUAGGGGGGUUUCCGCCCCCCUUAGUGCUGCAGCUAACGCAUUAAGCACUCCGCCUGGGAGUACGGCCGCAAGGCUG